rnacentral:rRNA from 1 species
GACGAGCGCUGGCGGCGUGCUUAACACAUGCAAGUCGAACGCUGAAGCUCAGCUUUUGUUGGGUGGAUGAGUGGCGAACGGGUGAGUAACACGUGAGUAACCUGCCCCCUUCUUUGGGAUAACGCCCGGAAACGGGUGCUAAUACUGGAUAUUCACUGGUCUUCGCAUGGGGGUUGGUGGAAAGGGUUUUUCUGGUGGGGGAUGGGCUCGCGGCCUAUCAGCUUGUUGGUGGGGUGAUGGCCUACCAAGGCUUUGACGGGUAGCCGGCCUGAGAGGGUGACCGGUCACAUUGGGACUGAGAUACGGCCCAGACUCCUACGGGAGGCAGCAGUGGGGAAUAUUGCACAAUGGGCGCAAGCCUGAUGCAGCGACGCCGCGUGAGGGAUGGAGGCCUUCGGGUUGUGAACCUCUUUCGCUCAUGGUCAAGCCGCAACAAUGGUUGUGGUGAGGGUAGUGGGUAAAGAAGCGCCGGCUAACUACGU